rnacentral:rRNA from 1 species
UGCCAGCCGCCGCGGUAAUACGAAAGGGGCUAGCGUUGUUCGGAAUUACUGGGCGUAAAGCGCACGUAGGCGGUCUUGUAAGUUGGGGGUGAAAUCCCGGGGCUCAACCCCGGAACUGCCUUCAAAACUACAAAGCUAGAGGAUGUGAGAGGUGAGCGGAAUUCCGAGUGUAGAGGUGAAAUUCGUAGAUAUUCGGAAGAACACCAGUGGCGAAGGCGGCUCACUGGCACAUUUCUGACGCUGAGGUGCGAAAGCGUGGGGAGCAAACAGGAUUAGAUA